AAACAACUCAAUUUUCCUUCCUUCUCAAGCAUAAUUUUUCACAAUGUCUUCACAGCCACAAAGGAGACUCAUGAGCCUGGAAAUCCUCUGGGAAUCCUGUGAAUGGAACCGCCCACACCCACACCUGCAGCCACAUCUGGAAAUGGCUGUGCUUGGCUAUAGGACCCAACAUGUAAGAUUUUGGGGUGCUUUUUCUCAACCCUGGCUGUUCUCCAUCCUUCUGGAUUGGGGGAAGGGGAGAUUUGCAGAACUGUGUCUGAUCUCUUUUAUGGAGGAACUCCAUUCCCAGCCCAGUUUGGGAGUCAUGUCCUCUUUCCCCAGAAUGACAGGAAGGAUUUGGUUAAGGAUUGACAAGAGACCUAGCUGCAGCAGAGGUAUGCCACAGGAGAGGUCAGAAGGUGCCAGGAUUAACAAUAGUUACCAGGACUGACUGCUGAUUUUACCCAUCCUGCUUCAAGAUGGGAUAGCCAAAGCCAGAGACUCCCUGCUGGGGACCAGAUACUUGAGACCACAGGAAACAUCAACCUUCCUGAGUUCCAUUUCACACUAAAUCCUGAGUUCCACAGUCUUGAGGUUCAGAGUUCCUACAGAGGUCUAACCUUUUUAAUCCAAAAUGGCAGGUCAAUUGAUCUUCCUUUGCAGGUUAGAAGGGGAGUGGCAGUAGGGACCUAAGCAAAUUCAAAUAGCAUUAGAAUUCCUGGGUCAAAGUAGCUUCUGCAUUGCCUGAGGUAGGGGGGAUGGGGAUGCUGACAGGAUUUAGGAGAGUGACAGGCUUGCUACUGUUUGGUGUAUAUGUAUUUUAUUGUUUUAUUGUACGUGGUGUUCUAGUUACUAUGUGCUAUUUAAGUACUUAUCAAUUCUGUACUGAAUAAAUAUGUGCCUUUUUACA
rnacentral:lncRNA from 1 species